CAGCCGCCGCGGGAAAACGUAGGGUGCGAGCGUUAAUCGGAAUUACUGGGCGUAAAGCGUGCGCAGGCGGUUGUGUAAGACAGGUGUGAAAUCCCCGGGCUUAACCUGGGAACUGCGCUUGUGACUGCACAGCUAGAGUAUGGCAGAGGGGGGUGGAAUUCCACGUGUAGCAGUGAAAUGCGUAGAGAUGUGGAGGAACACCGAUGGCGAAGGCAGCCCCCUGGGCCAAUACUGACGCUCAUGCACGAAAGCGUGGGGAGCAAACAGGAUUAGAUACCCCCGUAGUCCCUGUCUCUUAUAC
rnacentral:rRNA from 1 species